GCAAAAUUAUCCUCAUAAGUUUGACGAUAAGAGGAACCGUUUGGCGCGUAGCGUUUAGACGGUGGCACAGAAUCGGAGGCCCCGACUGUUUACUAAAAACACAAUUCAGAGCAAUGAUUAAGAUAAUAGUAUUCUGAAUGAAAUUUGCCCGAUGCCAUUAAUAUAAGAGAGGUAAUCGGCUACGCCGGUUACUAAUCGAAAGUCUGGUUAAUAGCGGUCUUAACUAUGAGGAUCCAAAGGUAGCAAAAUCAGUUGGCCAUUAAAUGUGGUCUGGUAUCAAUAGUGUAACGAUGGUCUCACUGUCUCUACAACUUGCUCAGUGAAAUUGAAUUACCCGUGCAGAUGCGGGUUGCCUCCAGGUGGACGGGAAGACCCUAUGCAGCUUU
rnacentral:rRNA from 1 species